UUUCACACAUUGUUGUCUUGCUCCCAACGUUUCCGUUUUAAGUAUAUAAUUUAUAAAGGAGGUUAUUAGAUGUGUGUAUAGUAUAAUCUUCCAGAUUAACAUGUUUAUAGUGGAAAAUUGCUACUGGCAGUGUGGGUUUCGCCUGGUCCGAAUUAUUUUGAGUAAGUCUAGUAACAGACAGACUGCCUUUUGCCUCUCAAAGAGGCAGUGAGGGGUUUUACUUGCUGACAGUUCACAAGAGAGCUGCAGCCGUCAGGAAAGUGCUUCUUCUCAAUAUGAGGAUAAAAAUCCCAGCGUAGAGCUACCAAAUUUUAUCCCACCUCUUGGUUUAUUCUCCACAGUUCUUCGAAUUGCUCCCAAAGACCUGUUUUAGGUGACAUCUUUAAUUUUCUGUUUUGUCUGGGACAAGUUUAGUGGGUAAAAACAAAAACAAAUAGGAAACCGUCUUGAUGGCCACUGCUGAGAAGCCAUGCACUUAUUCACGUGUGUGUUCAUGUCCUCUCAGUCGUCAGUUGUGCAUCCGUUGCUGCAGCUCGUUCCUCACCUGCAUGAGAGAAGAAUGAAGAGAUUCAGAGUGGACGAAGAAUUCCAAAGUCCCUUUGCAAGUCAAAGUCGAGGAUAUUUUUUAUUCAGGCCACGGAAUGGAAGAAGGUCAGCAGGGUUCAUUUAAAAUGGAUCCCAAUGAAGAUACAGAAUGGAAUG
rnacentral:lncRNA from 1 species